CUGAAGAGUUUGAUCAUGGCUCAGAUUGAACGCUGGCGGCAGGCUUAACACAUGCAAGUCGAGCGGUAACAGAUCUAGCUUGCUAGAUGCUGACGAGCGGCGGACGGGUGAGUAAUGCAUAGGAAACUGCCCAGUAGUGGGGGAUAGCCCGGGGAAACCCGGAUUAAUACCGCGUACGCCCUUCGGGGGAAAGCAGGGGAUCUUCGGACCUUGCGCUAUUGGAUGUGCCUAUGUCGGAUUAGCUAGUUGGUGGGGUAAAGGCCUACCAAGGCGACGAUCCGUAGCUGGUCUGAGAGGAUGAUC
rnacentral:rRNA from 14 species